UACAGAGGUCUCAACCGUUGUUCGGAUUCAUUGGGCGUAAAGGGUGCGUAGGCGGUCGCGCAAGUUGGAUGUGAAAUCUCAGGGCUCAACCCUGAAACUGCAUUCGAUACUGCGUGGCUAGAGUGCUGGAGAGGAGACUGGAAUUUACGGUGUAGCAGUGAAAUGCGUAGAUAUCGUAAGGAAGACCAGUGGCGAAGGCGAGUCUCUGGACAGCAACUGACGCUGAGGCACGAAGGCCAGGGGAGCAAACGGG
rnacentral:rRNA from 1 species